CACGGUGGUCUAGCGGUUAGAACGCUGGCCUUGUAAUCCUGGGGUCUCGGGUUCGAUUCCCGACGGUG
rnacentral:tRNA from 1 species